GCCUUGAGGGAUGGCUCAGUCAGUAGAGCAGGAGACUCUUAAUCUCAGGGCCAUGGAUUUGAGCUCCACAUUGGGUG
rnacentral:tRNA from 1 species